UACGAAGGGGGCUAGCGUUGCUCGGAAUCACUGGGCGUAAAGCGCACGUAGGCGGAUUGCUAAGUCAGGGGUGAAAUCCUGGAGCUCAACUCCAGAACUGCCUUUGAUACUGGCGAUCUUGAGUCCGGGAGAGGUGAGUGGAACUGCGAGUGUAGGAGGUGAAAAUUCGUAGAUAUUCGCAAGAACACCAGUGGCGAAGGCGGCUUACUGGUCCGGUUCUGACGCUGAGGCGCGAAAGCGUGGGGAGCAAACAGG
rnacentral:rRNA from 1 species